rnacentral:other from 16 species
GUUGAUCCUACAGCAAUUCUAUCACUAUACAUACAAAAGAAACCUUCGUCGACUC